rnacentral:rRNA from 1 species
UGUCCUAGCGGCGAACGGGUGAGUAACACGUGGGCAACCUGCCCCUAGCACUGGGAUAACCCCGGGAAACCGGGGCUAAUACCGGAUAUCACUUCAGAAGGCAUCUUCUGUUGUUGAAAGGGUUUACUGGCUAGGGAUGGGCCCGCGGCCUAUCAGCUUGUUGGUGGGGUAAUGGCCCACCAAGGCGACGACGGGUAGCCGGCCUGAGAGGGCGACCGGCCACACUGGGACUGAGACACGGCCCAG